UAUUGUGUAUUACACAAAACGAGCAUUUGUUAUCUCUUUAGCCUGCCAGUAUGUUCAGCAUAGCCAUCGUAGUGCAUAUGUAAGCAAAUAUGACCUGCCACCUAGUGUCAGAAAUAAUUAUAAAGCGCGCAUAUAUAAAUGAAUCACUUGGACUUUCGUCACGCCGUGACGGGCUUCUUUCUCGCCAGAUAUAUCACGGUCAGUAUGCACGUGGCCCGAAGCGUCCCGGCCAUGUUCUCGCUGUGUUUUUGUCGUCAAAGGCUCGAGCUGUGACAACUUCGAAUGCGCAUAUUUAUAAUAACUAGGAUAUAUCACGGUCAGUAUACACGUGGCCCGAAGCGUCCCCGCCAUGUUCUCGCUGAGUUUUUGGCGUUAAAGAUUCAAGCUGUGAUAACUUCGAAUGCGCAUCAUAAUUACAGCUAACCAUAUAAAUGGAUUAAUCAGGAUAACACACGCAUACCGGAAUGAAUUAAAUUUUAUUUCCAGUGUCAAUCGCCAGACUGGAGGACACGGAGAAUUAUCACGUUUGGCGGCGUCGUGCAACGAUUGAGUGGUUACCGGUCUCCAGUUAAACAUAGCAAGAUGUGCACAGAGAUAUACUGACAAUCACGUUGCUGAAGGACAAGGAGAAUCAACAUAUUUUCGAGGCAACGUCGUGCACCACUCGCCAGUUGAGCAUACCAAAAAAGUCGUUUUUAACUGCCAAGCACCGCGCCGUAACCGGCUAAACAUACAGAGGACACGGAGAAUAGACACGUUUUCGAGGCAACGUCGAGCAGAGAGCGAUUCAGUGGCUACCGGUCUCCAGUUACACAUACCAUGAAGUGCGCAGAGCUACACGUACACGCCCGAUGCGACCUGUGUUUGGAGAUACUAUUUGUACUGAUUUUACAUACAUGAUAUAUUUCUUUAAUUUUCACUAUUUAAAUAUUAUUAGAGGAUAUAUUAAUUAAAUUAAAGCAUGAAUGCGUUAUUAAAAAGCUUUGAGUAAAACCACCAAUUUAUGUCAAUUGUAAAUGGAACUUGUAAAACGCAUUAGGUCGUUGUGGUAAACAAUUUAUCGGUCAGCCUUUUAUAAACGAAUGUCGUUACAAAUUUCAUAUAUAAAUAGUAUAUUUGAACUAGUUAAUAUUCCUCUAAUUCACUUGUAAGUCAUGUUUCUGACACGUCCCCCGUGAUUUUUUGUGUAUGAUUUGUACGCCUGCGGACCACUGUCAGAACCUUUUUCCAAAAGAAUUUACUUCAUAUGUUCCUGACAACGGUCCCCUGAUUAUAAACUCGCGUUUAUAUAUUUAUUAGUACAUAUAUUACAAUUAUGUAUAUUGAAGUCCACACGCAUGUGUAGGCCUAUUAGCAUAUGUUUUCACGAUUGAAAUACUUUUUAAUAAAUAUACAUUAAACUAAGA